rnacentral:rRNA from 1 species
GACGAACGCUGGCGGCGUGCUUAACACAUGCCAGUCGAACGGAAAGGCCCUGCUUCUGUGGGGUGCUCGAGUGGCGAACGGGUGAGUAACACGUGAGUAACCUGCCCUUGACUUUGGGAUAACUUCAGGAAACUGGGGCUAAUACCGGAUAGGAGCUCCUGCUGCAUGGUGGGGGUUGGAAAGUUUCGGCGGUUGGGGAUGGACUCGCGGCUUAUCAGCUUGUUGGUGGGGUAGUGGCUUACCAAGGCUUUGACGGGUAGCCGGCCUGAGAGGGUGACCGGCCACAUUGGGACUGAGAUACGGCCCAGACUCCUACGGGAGGCAGCAGUGGGGAAUAUUGCACAAUGGGCGGAAGCCUGAUGCAGCAACGCCGCGUGCGGGAUGACGGCCUUCGGGUUGUAAACCGCUUUCGCCUGUGACGAAGCGUGAGUGACGGUAAUGGGUAAAGAAGCACCGGCUAACUACGUG